rnacentral:lncRNA from 1 species
UCUCAUUUUUCCCGGGCUUUCGGUCGGCGUUUUCCUUUUCUCGCGGGUUUGGGCGCGCAUCGAACUCUGAAGGGUCGGGAAGGCCUGUCGUUGGAAUGUGGUUGAGUUCCAGGGAGUGUACAGGCUGGAGGAUGGGACAAGACCUAUCUCUGUAUCGAUCAAGCACGGCGUUGGUGUUCCAGCUCAUCACCAAUCCUAAGGAAUUCAAGUGCCUCCCAGGAUGAAUACAGGUUGUCUUGAUGGUGAUACAUUCAUCUGUCUUAAGAUCCCUGCUGAUCUGCUCAUGGUCAAACUCCUGGAAAGAGUUGAGAGUGGUGAGUACUUGUAACCUUGGUUAUAACUUGUCUCCAGUGCCAGUGAGGAGAGCAAGCAUCCUGUCUUAACCCCUGUCCUAGCCCCAGAGCCAGUAAUGGUGAACCCACUGGGGCUAACAGGGAGAGAGGAUGAAAACAUGUUCCGUAAGGAACUGUCUGAGGUACAGCAACUGCCAAUGGGUAGCAUUUGUUUAGCUUCCCUUGGCUUACAUAUUAGCUGGGAUCCUUUUGGUUUUUUAAGGUACUCUACUGAUUUCAUGAUCUUCUCAUUCAGGGGUACCUUGUUCCUGCAUCCUCAAAGGAGCAUCUUGUUCCUCCAUUUAAGCUUCCAGAGUUAAAAGGUUAGUUGAUUAAUGUCACCAUAAUAUAUGCCACCAAGUAAGCAGUUUCUGUGAUGAAUCAAACUAGCUCACUAUGAACUAACAAUGAAAAGAUAUGAACACCUGAGAAACUGGAGAACAGAGCAGUGGGAUACUGUCUGCAAGGAACUUAAUAUCACUUACAGUUUUGUCCUUUCCUAGGUACCUGUACCAUUUAGCGGCUUGUUCACUCAAAGGUGAGUGAUUUAUAUGUUGGCACAUACAGUGUACUGAGGGAGAAAAUGCCUUUUUAGGCAUCUACACAUGAUGACUUACAUGGAAUCUCGUUCGGCUGAUGAUUUGCUGUUGAGACUCGGAAAUCUGAUUUUUUUUUUCUUUUAAGAACUUAAGUGGGAACAAAUUUUAAUGUAGGAAGUAAGCAUUACUGACUCAUUCUUGUUUUGUUUUAGAUCCAUCUUGUCUGGAGCCUGAGGAUGACUGGAGGUGAAAGGUGUAAGCCAUACUCUGCUCAACUCCAGUCUGAAACUGAGGUUAAAAGAACACGUACUUAACACACGGGUAAGUAAGUAUCCAUUCACGUACUUGUGUUAAAUAUCAGACUAACUAUAUAAAUACAAAAGUACAUUAGAGCAGCGCUUUUAGUGUUAACUGGUUGAAAGGAUAGUAUGUUCUAAGUCCGUUUUAGUAACUAAGUCCGUUUUAGUAAGAACCCUAAACUGUUCUUUUUCUCUGCAGGAAUCCAACUCUUGGAGGACAUCAGAAGUGGAAUUUUCUUAUACAACCUACCUAUUCAAAUUAGCAUAUAAUCUUUCUAGCCUUUCUAAAUAAAUAAAGGGAUUUUUUUGUA